ACGGUGUAAAUGGAGAGGAUGAAGUGAGGUUACAAAGCCAUUUAUAUUCCAUUUGAUUUUGUUCUAGGAAGUCAGCAUGGAUCAGCCUUACGUUCAUGGCCUCCAGGCCCUAUUCUCCUGCCUCACAGGGACCGGCCAGGAUCUCUAUCCUUACAGCACGUUGGAAUGUAUAUGCUCCUCUCCCCACAUCGCCUUAGGGAGCAGGCAGGUGUCAGGGGCAGCACAAGGACGGCCAACAGGACAGAAGACGGGUUGAAGAUCCGAGAGGCUGAGUCACUUCCACAAAGUAACACAGCUGAUUUUAAAUGCCUGCAUUCAGCAUCCCUGCAGCAGGCUCCAGGUGGAAUUCUAAUGGGACCAGCCUCCAGUCCCUGGACCUUAGCCGUGGAAGGAGAGAAGAGGACAUCUGCACCUCCUCUCAGAGAAAGCCUGAUGCCUACUAAAGGACUUGGGUGGUGGACGCAGUGACCCUCAGUCUGGAGCUUGUUCACUGAACAUUGGAGACUAUCAUUUGCGCAGAUGGUCUUGGGCCUCUAUGAGCAGCAGGCUGCACCCCACAGUGACCUCCUCAUUCUACUCUGAGGCAUCUUCAUGAAAGCAGAUGUCCAUUGAAAAGCACCCAAGUGCAGUCUCAGCUGAUGAACUUCAGAGGCGAUUGAGACAAAGGCUCUCGGUCCCCUCUGCCCUUGGAUGGUGCCUCUGGUAUGCACUUGGCCUCUGUGUCUUUAUUUAGACUGGUCACUUCACAACCCAUCAUGUCACCCCACCCCUAACCGUGCCCACUCUGGGUCCUCCCCUCAACUGCCUGACUUCCCACUUUGAGCUCAGCAAAGGCAAUAGAUGUUUUGUC
rnacentral:lncRNA from 10 species